GGGGAUGAAAAGGCUUCGACGGGGAAGGCUGAUCCUGGAUUGCAAGCCGAGGCGCCUGGGCCUCGUUAAAACCGGGCAAACCUUUAGAUGCCAAGAGACCAAAUCUCGCGGCUCUCCCAAUGGCUGCGUAAGCACUGUUAGGAGAUCCUGACGGCAUUCGUGUCGUCACGUCCGCCCCGGGGUUCCCCCGGUGCCUCGGAAGCGGGCGUCAAUAAUACUGGGGUGCAGCUCACGCCACGCCGGUAACGUGAGCCCAAGAUCGCCGGCUGGCCUGCGCAGGACCCUGUCGCUCGGGGCCUGAGCAGGUGACGACAAAGGAGCGACUAUGCUUGUAGUAUAUCCACGCUCGAAUUCUUCGGACCCGGGUUCGAUUCCCGGCAUCUCCACCA
rnacentral:tmRNA from 1 species